GAUGAACGCUAGCGGCAGGCCUAAUACAUGCAAGUCGAACGGGAUCCAGAUCAAAGCUUGCUUUGGUCUGGUGAGAGUGGCGCACGGGUGCGUAACGCGUGAGCAACCUACCCUUGUCAGGGGGAUAGCCCGGCGAAAGUCGGAUUAAUACCGCAUGACAUCAUUGAGAGGCAUCUUUCGAUGAUCAAAGAUUUAUCGGACAAGGAUGGGCUCGCGUGACAUUAGCUAGUUGGUAAGGUAACGGCUUACCAAGGCUGCGAUGUCUAGGGGCUCUGAGAGGAGAAUCCCCCACACUGGUACUGAGACACGGACCAGACUCCUACGGGAGGCAGCAGUAAGGAAGAUUGGUCAAGGGACGGAAGUCUGAACCAGCCAUGCCGCGUGCAGGAAGACGGCCCUAUGGGUGGUAAACUGCUUUUAUACGGGAACAAACGUCGGUACGUGUACCGGUCUGAGUGUACCGUAAGAAUAAGGAUCGGCUAACUCCGUG
rnacentral:rRNA from 1 species